rnacentral:rRNA from 1 species
UACGUAGGGUGCGAGCGUUGUCCGGAAUUAUUGGGCGUAAAGCGUCCGCAGGUGGCGAUUCAAGUCUGCGGUUAAAGACUGGGGCUUAACCCUGGAAAGGCCGUGGAAACUGAAACGCUAGAGUGCAGUAGGGGUAGAGGGAAUUCCCGGUGUAGCGGUGAAAUGCGUAGAGCUCGGGAAGAACAUCGGUGGCGAAAGCGCUCUGCUGGACUGCAACUGACACUCAGGGACGAAAGCUAGGGGAGCGAAUGGG